rnacentral:rRNA from 1 species
ACGACGCUGGCGGCGUGCCUAAUACAUGCAAGUCGAGCGAGCGGAACCAACAGAUUUACUUCGGUAAUGACGUUGGGAAAGCGAGCGGCGGAUGGGUGAGUAACACGUGGGGAACCUGCCCCUAAGUCUGGGAUACCAUUUGGAAACAGGUGCUAAUACCGGAUAAUAAAGCAGAUCGCAUGACCAGCUUUUGAAAGGCGGCGUAAGCUGUCGCUAAGGGAUGGCCCCGCGGUGCAUUAGCUAGUUGGUAAGGUAACGGCUUACCAAGGCGACGAUGCAUAGCCGAGUUGAGAGACUGACCGGCCACAUUGGGACUGAGACACGGCCCAAACUCCUACGGGAGGCAGCAGUAGGGAAUCUUCCACAAUGGACGCAAGUCUGAUGGAGCAACGUCGCGUGAGUGAAGAAGGUUUUCGGAUCGUAAAGCUCUGUUGUUGGUGAAGAAGGAUAGAAGUAGUAACUGGCCUUUAUUUGACGGUAAUCAACCAGAAAGUCACGGCUAACUACGUG